rnacentral:rRNA from 1 species
UCGAGAAUUUUUCACAAUGGGCGAAAACCUGAUGGAGCGACGCCGCGUGGGGGAUGAAUGGCUUCGGCCCGUAAACCCCUGUCAUUCGCGAGCAAACGUUAUUAUUUAAAAGAUGAUAGCCUGAUAGUAGCGAAAGAGGAAGGGACGGCUAACUCUGUGCCAGCAGCCGCGGUAAUACAGAGGUCCCAAGCGUUGUUCGGAUUUACUGGGCGUAAAGGGUGCGUAGGUGGUGGGGUAAGUCGGAUGUGAAAUCUCCGAGCUCAACUCCGAAAGUGCAUUGGAAACUAACCUGCUCGAGGGUUGGAGGGGGGACUGGAAUACUUGGUGUAGCAGUGAAAUGCGUAGAUAUCAAGUGGAACACCAGUGGCGAAGGCGAGUCCCUGGACAACUCCUGACACUGAGGCACGAAAGCUAGGGGAGCAAACAG